GAUGAACGCUGGCGGCGUGCCUAAUACAUGCAAGUCGAGCGAACGGACGAGAAGCUUGCUUUUCUGAUGUUAGCGGCGGACGGGUGAGUAACACGUGGAUACCUACCUAUAAGACUGGGAUAACUUCGGGAAACCGGAGCUAAUACCGGAUAAUAUUUUGAACCGCAUGGUUCAAAAGUGAAAGACGGUCUUGCUGGCACUUAUAGAUGGAUCCGCGCUGCAUUAGCUAGUUGGUAAGGUAACGGCUUACCAAGGCAACGAUGCAUAGCCGACCUGAGAGGGUGAUCGGCCACACUGGAACUGAGACACGGUCCAGACUCCUACGGGAGGCAGCAGUAGGGAAUCUUCCGCAAUGGGCGAAAGCCUGACGGAGCAACGCCGCGUGAGUGAUGAAGGUCUUCGGAUCGUAAAACUCUGUUAUUAGGGAAGAACAUAUGUGUAAGUAACUGUGCACAUCUUGACGGUACCUAAUCAGAAAGCCACGGCUAACUACGUG
rnacentral:rRNA from 1 species